CUAAGAAUAUUCCGCAAUGGAGGAAACUCUGACGGAGCGACGCCGCGUGGAUGAUGAAGGUCGGAAGAUUGUAAAAUCCUUUUAUGACUGAGGAAUAAGUACGUUGAGAGAAACGGCGUAUGGUGACUGUAGGUCAUGAAUAAGCAACGGCUAAUUACGUGCCAGCAGCCGCGGUAACACGUAAGUUGCGAGCGUUGUUCGGAAUUAUUGGGCGUAAAGGGCAUGUAGGCGGUAUUGCAAGCCUGGUGUGAAAGGCGGGGGCUCAACCCCGUAUGGCUCUGGAUACUGGAAGACUUGAGUGCAGGAGAGGAAAGGGGAAUUCCCAGUGUAGCGGUGAAAUGCGUAGAUAUUGGGAGGAACACCAGUGGCGAAGGCGCCUUUCUGGACUGUGUCUGACGCUGAGAUGCGAAAGCCAGGGUAGCGAAC
rnacentral:rRNA from 1 species